rnacentral:rRNA from 1 species
CCUACGGGGGACAGCAGUGGGGAAUAUUGCACAAUGGGGGAAACCCUGAUGCAGCAACGCCGCGUGGGUGAAGGAGCGUUUCGGCGCGUAAAGCACUGUCAGCGGGGAAGAAGAAAGACGGUACCCGACCAAGAAGCCCCGGCUAACUACGUGCCAGCAGCCGCGGUAAUACGUAGGGGGCGAGCGUUAUCCGGAAUUACUGGGGGUAAAGGGAGCGUAGACGGCGAGGUAAGCCUGAAGUGGAAGCCCGCGGCCCAACCGCGGAACUGCUUUGGGAACUGUUUUUCUUGAGUACCGGAGAGGUCAUCGGAAUUCCUUGUGUAGCGGUGAAAUGCGUAGAUAUAAGGAAGAACACCAGUGGCGAAGGCGGAUGACUGGACGGCAACUGACGGUGAGGCGCGAAAGCGUGGGGAGCAAACAGGAUUAGAUACCCGAGUAGUC